AAACUUUUAACAACGGAUCUCUUGGUUCUGGCAUCGAUGAAGAACGCAGCGAAAUGCGAUAAGUAAUGUGAAUUGCAGAAUUCAGUGAAUCAUCGAAUCUUUGAACGCACAUUGCGCCUACUGGUAUUCCAGUAGGCAUGCCUGUUCGAGCGUCAUUU
rnacentral:rRNA from 1 species